rnacentral:misc_RNA from 1 species
GUCGUAACAAGGUUUCCGUAGGUGAACCUGCGGAAGGAUCAUUACCACACCAAGAUCCAUGAUCUUUCUUUUUGUGACUUUGGUUGGUCUCGACGGAAAUUACACAGACAGUGUAGUUGUCGAGUAACCAACUGGACUAGUAAUGUAAAACUGGUGCUCCCUCUGUCAUUUCUGUGUCUUGCAGAAAGAAACUUGGUCCGCUUGAGGACCGAGGCAGAAAGGAUAUAGGAGGUGCCCUCCUAAACAUGUAUGCGCAGGACCCAACUAACUAAAGAAAAGCGUUUGUAUCGACCAUCGAUGCAUGCUAAACUAGAAAUUCAUUUACAACUUUCAGCGAUGGAUGUCUAGGUUCUCA